AGAGUUUGAUCCUGGCUCAGGACGAACGCUGGCGGCAUGCCUAAUACAUGCAAGUCGGCCGGGCACNCGUAGGGUGCCAGCGGCGAACGGGUGAGUAACACGUAAGUAACCUACCCAUUGGACGAGGAUAACUACUGGAAACGGUAGCUAAUACUGGAUAGGUACAUGCAACCGGAGGGGGGCAGUAUGAAAGGCCCAUGAAGGGCCGCCAAUGGAUGGGCUUGCGUCGCAUUAGCUAGUUGGUGAGGUAAGGGCUCACCAAGGCGAUGAUGCGUAGCCGACUCUGAGAGGGUGACCGGCCACACUGGGACUGAGAGACGGCCCAGACUCCUACGGGAGGCAGCAGUAGGGUAAUCUUCGGCAAUGGACGGAAGUCUGACCGAGCGAUGCCGCGUGAGCGAAGAAGGUCUUCGGAUCGUAAAGCUCUGUUAUGAGGGAAGAAGGA
rnacentral:rRNA from 1 species